UAUAUUUCUGCUAGGGUUGAUGGUGAGGGGAGCUAUCUUUAGGUUGGGAGUGGGGAGGAAGCCAACUCCUGCCGUCCUCAUAUUUGAGGAAUUCUGAGUAGAAGCUUCUCAACCACCCCUGUCCCCUCCCUGUAAGCCUGGACCCUGUCCUGAAAAAACAGACAUAGACAGGGAACAGUGUGGCCAAGACAAUACGUUUUGGUUGGAAUUAGUGGCAGAAUAAAACCUCAUAGAAUGUUCAAGAAGAAAAGAGCUUGGAAGAGUUGGGUCUUUCAAUCCUCUAAAAGUAUGUCUUUCCUCAGCCAGAGACCUCAGUUCCUCUCAUUGGGGCCACAUCUUAGAUUUUAUUGCUUCCCAGUAGAGCCAGUCACUCUGGGCAGUGGGGACAUUCAUGACCCAAGUUAUAGCAGCUUGAGUUUAAUAGGAUAGGAAUAUAAUUAUUCUGUGGGACUGCCCUAGUAUUGCAGAAUAUUUAUUAUUCUGUAUCCCUCACUCUUCCUGGUGGACGGUUUAGCCAUAAUGCCAAGGGAAAAUAUUUCAUGUUUUUAUGUAAAAGGAUAUGUUUGCAGCUUAUGUUUUACACCUUUGUUUAUAUAACCUCUUUUUUCCUGAGAUGUGAAAAAUGUGUGUGUGUGUUAGUAGGGUGAUAACAGCUCCCACCACAGUCUUACUAGCUUUUAUGAAUUCAGUGUUAAGAUUGUGUGUAUAAUGCCUGUGCAUGCUUUUAGCUUUCAUCAGAUUCCCAAAGAAUUCUGUGUCUUAAAAGUGUGGACCAGAUGUUUCUUUGAACCAAGCAGCAGUCUUUGUUAGCCAUAAAAUUCGGCUAUAUUAUUCACUGUUACUAAUACUCUUCAAUCUUCCGUUUUAACAAGAAACAAUGGGUUUGGACUCAUGCUAGCUUAGAGGAAUCCAGUGGAAUAAACAAUCUCCAAUUUACUUCUAAGGUGUUUUAUAGGAUUUAUGACAUUCUAUUUCUCAAGGUUAGUGUGUCUAAGCAUUUUGUUUUGGAGAGAUUCUUUUUCCUUUUGAUAUAUUAUUUUAUAUUUUUAAAAAAAGAUUUAUUUAUUAUAUGUAAGUACACUGUAGCUGUCUCCAGACACCCCAGAAGAGGGCAUCAGAUCUCAUUACAGAUGGUUGUGAGCCACCAUGUGGUUGCUGGGAUUUGAACUCAGGACCUUCAGAAGAGCAGUCAGUGCUCUUAACCUCUGAGCCAUCUCUCCAGCCCUAUCUUUGCAUUUUUAUAUUUGGAAUAUAUAAUCCUUCUUGGGUAAUACAUUAAGUACUCUAUAAAACAUAUAAUUCUUAGGCGUUUGAUUAAAAUGUCAUAGUUAUUUUUAAAAUUGUGUAGGCUGGUCAGAAGGGUCAGCUGUAGAGACCUGCCACACUAAAGCUCUCAGUUACAGUCAUGAUUUAUGGGCACUGACACCAUCUAUUGAUCAGAAACCAACAAUUGGGUAGCAGCAAAGAGUAUAAGAUCGCCUACAGAAGAAAGGAGUGGCAUAAAAUGAAACAGGCACUCCAAGUAAAAGCUUAUUUCUCAAGGCUUGAACUAAGUUUUAAAUUUUCCCACUUUUGUGAAAUUGUUUUUUUUCUCAUGUUAGGCAUUAGGCACAUUUAGUCUGUCUUUAAAAAGUCUUUGUCUCAGACAGUUUACCAACACUCAAAGUUUAUUGUACAUGGUUGGUGAAUUUUCUAAAUCUAGAUUUCAAAGUAUGACUGUUGCAAAGUUUUAAAAAACAUAGUCUUUGUUUAUGACUCAAACAGGUUAGAAGGUGACUCUGGUUCAGGGAGCUUGCAGCCAAGCUUGAAAAUAGUUCAAUCCCUUGAACCCACAUGGUAGGAAAGCAUUGAUCCUGAUGAUGCUGUGCAUGUAGACAUACAGUCUAAGUGACAAAUAAGGGAAUGAAAAAGGCUAGAUAAAAAUAGGAAGGCUUUUAUAAUGUCUUUUCCUUCAGGCUUCUUGACUUUUCCCUCCCUUUUUGGUGCUGGUGGUUGAAUGUGGGACUGUAGCCAUGCUCCAGUAGUCUUCUUAGUGCUCUAGUUAAGAUCAUCAAUAUCACUCCUUUGACAAAUAAAAAGCAAAAGCAUAAAAUAGAUGUUUAAAAGGCCAUUUAAAACCAUUAAACAAGAAAACCAUUACAAGACCAUUAAAACAAUUAAAAUGCCUUCAAAAUCAACAAGAAAUUCUUGCUGUGAAACUUAGACUGUAUAAUCUGUUUUGGCUUUUCAGAUGAAACCAAAUAAGUUUAUCUUCACAUCUCACAGCCCGUUUUAAAAACAAAACAAAAAACUGAGGAUAUACUGGUUAAGUAGAGCUGGGUCAGCUUUUUGAAUUCGUUUUGUUGAGUACAGAAUUAAAGCUUUAAGACAAGACUUCGUAUUUAGAUAGAGCAUAUGACAUACCACUCAUAAGUACUUAAUACACGUGCAUGAAUGAAUUGAGACAAGUGAGUACUGUCAGGUUUUAGUUUUGUAGUUGGCCUGUGAACGUAAAGAUUAGCACUGGUGAAGACCACUGGGGGACUUGUGUCAGUCAUGUGAUGUGUUAUGAACAUGCUAUAUGAGUACAGUUUGGCUGACAAGAUGGCUCAUUGGAUGGAGAUCCUUGUUGCUAAGCCUGAGGACUGGAGUUGGAUUUUUGGACCCCACAUAACGAAAGGAGGGCACCAGUUGUAAAAAGUUGUCUUCUGAUCUCCACAUACGUACUGUGACAUGUACAUGUUCAUAUGUGCAACACAAACAUGAUAAAUGUAACCAAAAUUAAAGAACAAAAAUCAUAGUUAUUUUAUGGAUGAAAUCA
rnacentral:lncRNA from 1 species